rnacentral:rRNA from 1 species
UACGAAGGGGGCUAGCGUUGCUCGGAAUCACUGGGCGUAAAGGGUGCGUAGGCGGGUCUUUUAAGUCAGGGGUGAAAUCCUGGAGCUCAACUCCAGAACUGCCUUUGAUACUGAAGAUCUUGAGUUCGGGAGAGGUGAGUGGAACUGCGAGUGUAGAGGUGAAAUUCGUAGAUAUUCGCAAGAACACCAGUGGCGAAGGUGGCUCACUGGCCCGAUACUGACGCUGAGGCACGAAAGCGUGGGGAGCAAACAGG